CCGGCGCGGUUAGCCUCCCUUCGCCGUCAAGGAUUGGCCCGCGCCGGGACCUGUCGGUCGGGGUUGUGUCUGGGAAGAAGAGAAAAUGGCGGCGGGCCCGAGCAAGAGCGAAAUCCAGACUCUUUUUAAGAGGCUUCGCGCAAUUCCCACCAACAAGGCCUGUUUCGAUUGUGGAGCCAAGAGUCCUAGUUGGGCCAGCAUCACGUAUGGUGUAUUUUUGUGUAUUGACUGCUCUGGAGUGCAUCGCUCCUUGGGUGUUCAUCUCAGCUUUAUCAGGUCCACAGAGUUGGAUUCGAACUGGAGCUGGUUGCAGCUGAGGUGUAUGCAGGUCGGCGGGAAUGCCAAUGCGCUUUGGAUAGACAAUAUGAACAGUGCUCCUAGUCACUCUCCAGAGAAGAAAGACUCUGAUUUCUUCACAGAGCAUACUCAGGCCCCUGCUUGGGAUACAGCAGCCACGGAUCCUUCAGGGACCCAGCAACCAGCCCUACCUUCAGAGAGCAGUA
rnacentral:lncRNA from 1 species